AAAAGCAUCAAUCUUUUCCACUGUCUGAAUGAACUGAAUGAUCGUUCUCUAGUGGAGGAGAUCCAACAGUCCCUGAGAUCAGGAAGUCUCUCCACAGAUAAACUGUCUCCUGCUCAGUGGUCAGCUCUGGUCUUCAUCUUACUGUCAUCAGAAAAAGAUCUGGAUGUGUUUGACCUGCAGAAAUACUCUGCUUCAGAGGAGGCUCUUCUGAGGCUGCUGCCAGUGGUCAAAGCCUCCAACAAAGCUCUACUGAGUGGCUGUAACCUCUCAGAGAGAAGCUGUGAUGCUCUGUCCUCAGUUCUCAAGUCCCAGUCCUCUAGUCUGAAAGAGCUGGACCUGAGUAACAAUGACCUGCAGGAUUCAGGAGUGAAACUUCUGUCUGCUGCACUGCAGAGUCCACAUUGUACACUGGAAACUCUCAGAUUGGACCGCUGUGGUUUGUCAGAGAUCAGCUGUGAUUAUCUGGCAGCAGCACUGAAGUCCAACCCCUCGUAUCCCAGAGUGCUGGACCUGAGUGGAAACUACAACAACCUGCAGGAUUCAGGAGUGAAGCAGCUGUGUGUUCUUCUGGAGAAUCCACGAUGUCGAUUUGAAAC